GUAUGAGCGGGGGCGGGGGUGGCAGGGGGUGACUUUGUGUGUAUGAGAAGUUCAAGGGACAGGUGCCCAGGGACCUGUUAGCCCAGGGCAGCUGAAGGAUGGAAAACAAUACAGUCAGCAUUUUCCAUCCUGUCCUCUUGAAUGGUUUGGAUUUUUACAAUAAGUACAUGUUACUUUUACAAUAAGGGGAAGAGAAGUUUCACUAUGUCCUGUGGAAAUGCUUGUUAAGAAUUCUUGUUAAGGAUGUGUCUGGGAAGGUCCAGCCUCUCCUUCUCUGAAUUUCAGUAUAGCAGAAACCCUACGUCUCCUUUGUGAAUAAGAAUCUCCUGGGGAGCACACAUUUUUGUUUAUUCAGAGAGCAGUUCAAGUCUCAUGGCCGGCCAGCAGAUGUGCAAAGGGAGAGGACUCCAGAGCCACAGCAGAGGGACCACUCCACUGGCAUAAAGGACACAAGCUUGGGCCCUUAACAGGGCACCCUCUGCCUCUCUGUAGAGCCCCAAGGCAUGACUAAGCCUCUUGUGGGGAUUUCUGAAAUCUUCAUGUCUGCAGCCCUGGGAGGCCCCAAGCUGAAGGAUGUGAAAGAUUUGUGAUACUAGACAGAUUCAGCCUGCCCUGGUAGCCUGAAGAACCUCAGCAGUGAGCUUGCAACUAUGUGAUUGCACUGAAAAUGUGUCUCUAAUGUCUGUCUGCCUGUCUUAGUGCUGCCAUCAGGAUCCAUGCUGUGCUGGUUCUGAGCACUUUUACAUGUACUAAACUGUGUGAUCCUCAUAACACGCCUGUGUGGGAGAAUUAAUAAUCCUGUGCUACAGGUGAAGACAUUGAAGCCCAAGGUCCUAUGGCUGGUUUGUGCCAGAGCCAGGACAUGAAACCAGGAAGUCUGUGGCUACAGUCUGGGCACUUCACUACUGCACCAAAAACCUCAAUGACAUCUGUGCCAUUCUGUAAAUGGAGUCCUUCCUGUCCAGGAUGUCAGCUGUCUCCAGUGCACAGCUCUCUUUCUCUUCCACCCACACCCCAAGCAUAGUCCAGUGCACCUGCAAAACCUGAGACAAAGGAACAUGCACCAGCACCUCAUGGCCAGCAAUGGCUGGUCAGUGAUCUCAACCAAAAGACAGGGGCUCUGGACCCAGCAGGACCAGCCUAGAUGCCCUGCCUGCCUACCUCCCUGGUUCUUUCCUCAGCCACUCCUGCCUGGAGAGAAGCUUGUGAGAGGACAGAAGGCAAACACAGAGGGAGUUAAUCUGAGCCCCAAGUGUUCCCCUGGGUGCCCCCUGAUUACUACCACAGUCUUAGGAGUAGACAGAGGCAGGAGGGCAAGUGAGGAGGGUUCUAAGCACACUUGGAAGCAGUAAAGGGGCCUACAAAUCUGGCAAGGACAGGAAGACAGCUUUGCAAAAAAUCACAGACCCACAGGAAUAGCAACCUUCUCACCCAGCAGGGCAAUACUUCCACUAGCUGCUCCUGAGAACUGCCUCUCUCUCUCAGCCCAGACUGGCCUGGCCUUGGGUCAGAACCAUGGGAUCUCCAUCCACAGGCCAUCCCCUCACUCACAGAGGCCAAGACAUCUUCCCCACGGGAGGAAUGCUACAUCAGACUUCUCUAGUCUUCAGGCUGCACUGAGAUACCCCUCCACUGACACAGAUCUUACCUGCUAACCCUCUGGACUCUAGUCCCAAACCACGACUUUUUCCAGACCACCAUAUUUAGGGCAGAAUUCAGUGUGGCCUGGAAUUGUGCUUUGUGAUGAUUCGAAUGAAUGAAUGCAUUGAUUAAUAAAUAAUAAAUUAUGAGUAUUCGAUGAA